UCUCACUGUAUAGCUCUGGCUGGCCUAAAACUUAUGUAAACAAAACUGGCUUCAAACUCACAGAAAUCUGCCCGACUCUGUUUCCUCAUUGCUGAGAUUUUAUAUAUAUAUAUAUAUAAUUUAUGCCACCGGCCCAGCUCUGUAGAGGUUUAUGUGCUUCGAGUUCAAGCAAUAUCCAAAUAUCAUAGGGGCCAGAGAAGGGUACAUAGAACUGCAAGCAAUUGUGUGCUGCCCCUCUAGGUGCUGGGAACUAAAACAGAGUCCUUUGCAAGAGCAGUAAGCACUCAUAACCACUGAGCACUCACAACCACUGAGCACUCAUGUCUAGCGCCGAGUCUUUGGAACUUCUUCUAAUGAUCUAAAUUAUCUUCUGAAAUAAAAAAAAAUGUCUAAAAAUAAUCUGGAAAUAUGAAUGUCCAGAGAAUGUGAUUCUGUUAACACCUCUGUCUGGGUGUCUAUAAAUAAAAGGCACUCGCAAGUGUGAAAGGUUAAAUAGAGAUUGUAACUCUCGUUUUUUAAUUUGCAUUUGUGAUUCAUAAAGGUGCUUUUUUUUUUCUGGAGGUUUUACUGUGACAUAGUUGCCACAGGCCUUCAGAGUGCCAUUUUAUAGAUGUUGACUAUAGAAGACCCGACCCCCAAUCUUCAACCCUGGGUUUGUCCAAAAUACAGGUUUUAGAGGAGGAAAAACAAAAUCACUCUUUGUCCAAAUCUCAUCAAACACCGGAUUCUAAGUGACUGUAAAUAUUGAAUGUUACUUUAGCCACCUUAGCCUGUGACAAAUUAAACAGACCGUGAACUUCACUGAACUCGGUGCCUUGGGGAUCACUGGGCGGACCAGGAGCUGGCAGCUUGGAACAGCUUGACUCCCCACAGGUUUUGUGACUCCUCUUGAGAUGAAGGUCACAUUACCUUUUCUCCUGGCUGCUGGGGAGGCUCAACAGGUUGGGGCCUUUAAGGCUUUUUCCAAGGUGAGUCAGGAGUGAGUAAGGAUGCUGAAUCAGAGGCCUCAGUCUGCUGAGACAGAAGCUCCUGGUCGGUGAGAGGACCACACACCACGGGUGGUCCAGAGCUGUAGACUGAAGUGAUGGAAAAUGCUAACAUCCCUCAUCUUCUGGAAGGUGAGAGACACAGGGAGACCUUCAGCCAGCUCCUGGUGGUGUUGAACUUCCCGGACCUCAGAAACCAACUUCCUCUUAAAUCUGGUCUUCUUUGAUUGAGGCUACCUCCUAGUGACUAGGACCAUUACUCUGAGCAGUCUUCCUUUCUUCCUCUGCUCUAUUUGGGUUUCUUGGACUCCUUCCUCCUUCCUUCCAGCCCUCCUGUUUUCCCCAGAGCAUCGCACACCCCCUCCCCCACUGCCUUCAUCCUGUGUGCUGUGCAUUACUCCAGUCCAGCCCUUGGGUCCUGUGCCUACCCAGGAAACAUUUCCCUACAGAUAUCCCUCUGCCUAGGUUCUCCUUCCAGGGGCUGACUCUCUCUGUCCUGAUUAAAAAGAAAGAUACGUGAGAACUGUCUUUGAAUUCAUCAUCUCCCACCUUCUCUAGGCUUGGCUGUGUCUCUCCCUUGGAGUUCAGCCAUGGGCUCUUAAAACAUAUCUUUCUCCUCUCCUCUCUCUCUCUCUCUCUCUCUCUCUCUCUCUCUCUCUCUCUCUCUCUCUCACGCUCUCCUCCCCCCCCCCGUGUGUGUGUGUGUGUGUGUGUGUGUGUGUGUGUGUCUGUCUGUCUGUCUCCAACUUUGCUCUCUCUCAUACAUUUUCAUUUAGAGUCCAACAUGGGCUUUACCGGGUGAGCCAGAUAAUUUUUCUAUACCCCUACUUCAGAAAGAAGCCCACACUUUUUUUUUAAACCCCUAGGUUCUCAUCCUUGCCUGGACUCUUGACUUUCCUAUUGUGCUUCCUGGCUCCCUAGACUGUCAGUCCCGUGACUAAGGUAGCAUUCAGAAUGGCUUAGCUCUGUCCUAGCCCAAGUCCUACGCAGGUUUAUAAAUCCACUACAGUACACUCACUGCCCCACCCCCUUGAUGCUCCCACAAUGCCUUGGGCUUAACUGACCAUCUGAACCCUGCCCAUAUUCUCGACUCUGCAGUGACUAUUCAUCUCUCCUGGAACAAUGCUUGCCACAUAGAGGCACCUGACAGAAAGAUACUGGAUAAGAGGAUGACUUCCCUAACAGUGAGGCAGCUUUCAUUAGCAACUCUUACGAAGGGGAGGGCAUGGGGUCAGUACAUGGUCCUUCUGUCAGAAAAAACUAGCUCUGUUAUUCAAUACAUUUCGUAUCGGAAGCUAAAUAAUAAUCUUUCAUUAGGAGCCUUCGUCCUCAGCUUUGGACUGUUAGUUCUUUUCUUCCUUCUCUUCUAUUUUUCUGAAACAGGUUCUAUGGAACUAAGGAUGAUGACCUUGAAGUCCAGAUAUUCCUCCCCUUCACCUUUCGACUCCUGGGAUGACAGACAUGUGCCCCUACACACCAAGGUGUUUGUUUUGAUCUGAGGUGAAAUGGCUUGGCCUCAUUUUUAUUAAAAGAUUUUUUAAAAGAAACAUCUUGAGUGUGUUCGCUCACACCCAGUCAUCCCAGUUAUUUUGAAGCCGAGAGUCUGAAGCUAGCCUGGGCUACUCAGCAAGUUCCAGGAAAGUCUAAGGCUGAAGUGUGAGACAUCAACAGCAAAUGAGAGAGAACUUUUUAAAAAAAAAUGACACCAGGGCUUCCAGUUGUUAUUCCACAAAUAUUGAAGACGAUAGUGGAGGCAUCUCCUCCUGCCCUGCAUGUUAUUCUGUGGAUAAACUUGCUCAGAGGAUACUUAUCACGCUUUAGAAAAAAGUUGUUCUCACUAGAGAGAGACCUAUUGGGUUUUAAAAAUUGGUUCUGUUCUCAGAAGGGAAAUAAGCUUUAACUUGGAAACUGCAAUUUACUUAUGGAGUUGUCUUAUGGGUCUGGGGGAGGACUUAACCUAACAAGUAUGAGUUAAAUGACCCUGGGUGAGUCUGAUCCUCAAAUGCAAACAUACAUAGAGUAUGUGAUAGUGAACUUGGUAGAGGGCAUUACAGAUGUUACUGGGAAAAUUCAUGACUUCUGAUUUGUUUAUUGUUCUUCUUUCCCGACUCCGCACUCCCUGGCUUCUGGCCUGAACAGACAGCCUCUCUUUUGGCCUUUAGUUUCGUCAUUUCUCAAAGUCAAAUGAGAAGACUUACAGCUGCCUUUUAGUCGAGGUGUGGUAGGAAUGAAUGUGUUGCAAUGUGUCCUUUAAAAAAGAUAGGCAUUUGAUACCAAGAUAGAUAAAGUCAAAAUUGUUACCGUCUAUGGUUGGCCCAUGAUGCUUUGGUAAAAUAUGUUUUGACCCUUUGCAAGACACUGCCUAAGGGCUUGACGUGACUCAGACUUUCCCUUGUUCUUUGUCACUAGCAGCGUAUAUUGUACAGUGCAAUAUAUUUUACAAGACUAUCUUUGGGUGGUUGGAAGAAGUCACCUAACCUGAGUAGAGAAAGGAUUUUAGUUAAGAACAGAAACAAAAGACUUUCUUGUCCUUUCUUCAUUGUCCUUCUGUCCUCCAAGAAAUAGUGUCCACAUAUAACAGAGAUGAGACACGGCUAUUUAUCUCAUUUCAACCUGACUUCAUGAGAGUUUAGGAUCCCUGGAACUACAGUGCCUGAGUUCAAUUGAAUUGAAAUUGACCCCUAGGCUCUCAUAGGUUCCCUAUGCUGAGCAGCAUCUGAGUUCACUUCUGGGAUGCCUUGUAAAGUAAUGGGAAUGAGCCUUAAUUGGUAGAAAUGGAAUUUGGGUAGAACUUUUCUCGGAACUCAACUUUAUACCAAGGGGAUAAUAAAAGGAUUCUUCCCAAAAAGAAGGCGCCCUUUCUAGUACCUGCUAUCAUCUCCACCACCUUCCUCAGUGGCUUGUUUUUAUAUUCUAAGUAUCUUUGGAAACAGUAUGCAAAAAACCACCAUUCACUGCUACUAUGCAGAGCUCACCCCACUCACUUUUCAGAAUAGAUUGUCUGUGGCUCAGCUGUGGGGCAGUAGUCUUUGAGAGAACACAAUCGAGGCUAGGUAUGUGACAACUAACUGAUAGGAUGCAGUGAAAGAGAUCUCCAGGCCUAGAUCUGUAGGAAAUGACAUAUUGAGCAUCUUUGAGGGGAGAUUUUGUUUAGCUUCCAAAACAAAAAUAAAAACAGAACAAAACAAAACAAAACAAAAAAAACUGAGAGCAUUGGGCUGAGUAGUGUAAUUACACUGUCAGCCCACACCAUACCUUUGAUAGUGCUUGGAAAAGAGCCAAAGCGAGACAAGGAAGCUUCAAGACAUGCUGCUGUUCAAGCAUGCUUUCUCCGUGGGCUUGCACAUAGGGACAUGUCUGGGGUGAUUCCUGAUGGACAGUGACACCCUACCCAUCCACCCCCAUAAGCAGCAUUAUAGAGAGUCUAGAUUGUUGACAUUCUGUGUGUCCAGCAUUCUGUUUGUCUUGGCUGGAAAUGGAAGCAGGCUUCCUGGCCCAGGGGUCAGAGCCCUGGUUGUGACUAGACUCUAGCAGCAUCUCAGCUAUGGUUUCUUCCCUCUGGAUGCUGGGAACUGAGUGGAGGGUUUCAUACAAGCUCCACCACGUACUCUACCAUUGAGUUAAUCCUCCACUGCUCAGGUGUGCGCAUGCGCAUGCGCGUGUGAGGUAUGGGCACCUGCAUGUAUUAUGUGUUCUGUGUGCUUCUGCAUACCCUCUGAGAGGCCAUAGAAGAUCUGCUCUGUCGCUUUCUGCAUUAUUCCCUCCACACAAGAACUCUUACCAAACCUGAGCUAGGAUAACAUCCAUAAAGCCCCAGCUACCUCCUCCUGGCUGUGUAAACACCCACCUCAACACCACAAGGUUUACAGGCCCGUGCUAACCAUGUCCAACAUUUUUUUCAUAGAGUUUGGAGGUGCAAACUCAUGUACUCCUGUACAAAGUCCUCUGCCUCUGGGGCUAGGGGUAGGAGUUUGGAGGGAUCACAGUAUUUGUGUGCAAACUUCAAACUGUAGGCAUUUAAAGUAACUCAGGUGCCUGGCUUCCGAAAUUCCCUAUAGAGGAGGCAUUCUCUCCGUCUCAUGCUCUGUUUUACAUUUAGAGCAGGUUGCUGCUUUUGGCUGACCUUGGCCGGUUCAAAUUCCCGCUUGGUUGCUCUUCCUAAGAGACCCUUCAUCUCUUCUCAUCUCCUCUUCACGACUUUGUGAAGAUCAAAUGAAAAAAACUCGAGUGCACAAUAUAAUCCUGCCUAUGAUGUCUGUUUGAAAACUAUUCUAAUCCCUUUACGUUAUGUGCGUUAAACAGUAGCUCAGAAUGCGAACUCUUUCUACAAACAAAUCGAGAGCAACAAGCAGGCAGGACUUUUGAGUUUUUAGCUCUUUGGAUAACUUGCCCCUGCAUUGGGGAUCUUGCUUCUGCCUCUCUAAUGUGGAGACACAGUGUUAGAGGAGAACCGGUCCCUUCAAUCAUUGACAUGAGUUUACCCCUACCCUCUUUAUUUUUGCACAGCAAGUCCCAAGGCAUAAAUUGCAUUGAUCUUGUUUCUCAGAAGUGUCCACCACAUUUAGGAGAGGCUAAAGUAAGAAUAAUGAGCAAAGCUGGCGCUGUUCUGGUUUGUCCACCGGAGAUGGAAAUUUAAACGUGAUUAAUUUUGGAUUGGGGAUCAGUGUCCAAGGAACAUGUUUUUAAGCCGACUCGGCUUUGCUAAUGCAACAGUGACGUCAGGCAGCUGUCUAACACAGAUUUGCUGCCACAGUGGCAAGUGGUCACCUCCAAAAAGCCUGGAUUUCUACUUAAGGGCAGAGCAGUCUUCUGCCUAAUGCGUUUUAAAUUAAGAGGUGACUGUGGGCAAUCUAAUAAAACAGCCAAAUACC
rnacentral:lncRNA from 1 species